GUGCCAGCAGCCGCGGUAAUACGUAGGGAGCGAGCGUUGUCCGGAAUUACUGGGCGUAAAGGGCGCGUAGGCGGGAUCUUAAGUCAGGUGUGAAAACUCUGGGCUCAACUCAGAGACUGCAUUUGAAACUGGGAUUCUUGAGGGCAGGAGAGGAAAGUGGAAUUCCUAGUGUAGCGGUGAAAUGCGUAGAUAUUAGGAGGAACACCAGUGGCGAAGGCGACUUUCUGGACUGUACCUGACGCUGAGGCGCGAAAGCGUGGGGAGCGAACGGGAUUAGAUACCCCGGUAGUCCACGCUGUAAACGAUGGGUACUAGGUGUAGGAGGUAUCGACCCCUUCUGUGCCGCAGUUAACGCAAUAAGUACCCCGCCUGGGGAGUACGGCCGCAAGGUUGAA
rnacentral:rRNA from 1 species